CUCCUCCUCCCUUCCUCCUUUUCCUUCCUCUCUCUUCCUCCUUCCCCUGUCCCCCUCACCUUCCCUCCCUCACCUCUCCUUCUGUGCUUGCCCCCUUCCCUCCCUCCCUCCCUCCCUCCUCCCUGUCUCCUGGGAGGCUCCUUUACCCCGCCUCCCCCUCCUUCUGCUCUCCCUCCUGCUGUGGGGGUUGACAGAACACUGCAUGUCUGUCCUUCCUCCGGCAAUUUCAUCUUCUUGAGCACAGGGACUGCAUCGCAGUUACCUCUCAGCCCUUCUCCAGGGCGUCCUAACAUGACACACUCCCAGGGACAGUGCCCCGGCACGCACAGAGAUUGUCACACGUGUUUGUCCACAGUGUUCCAGACGAGAGCUCAGCCUUGGAAGACCGGGGCUUGGCCUCGUCCCCGGAGGACAGGGACCAGGGCCUCUUCCUGCUACGCAAGGACAGUGAGCGCCGUGCCAUCCUGUACAAAAUCCUCUGGGAGGAGCAGAACCAGGUGGCUUCCAACCUGCAGGAGUGUGUGGCCCAGAGUUCCGAAGAGUUGCAUCUCUCAGUUGGACACAUCAAGCAAAUCAUUGGGAUCCUGAGGGACUUCAUCCGCUCCCCAGAGCACCGGGUGAUGGCGACCACAAUAUCAAAGCUCAAGGUGGACCUGGACUUUGACAGCUCGUCCAUCAGUCAGAUUCACCUGGUGCUGUUCGGAUUUCAGGAUGCCGUAAAUAAAAUUUUGAGGAACCACUUAAUUAGGCCCCACUGGAUGUUCGCGAUGGACAACAUCAUCCGCCGAGCGGUGCAGGCCGCGGUCACCAUUCUCAUCCCAGAGCUCCGAGCCCACUUUGAGCCUACCUGUGAGACUGAAGGGGUAGAUAAGGACAUGGAUGAAGUGGAAGAGGGCUAUCCCCCAGCCACCGGACCUGGCCAGGAGGCCCAGCCCCACCAGCAGCACCUGAGCCUCCAGCUGGGUGAGCUCAGACAGGAGACCAACAGACUUUUGGAACACCUAGUUGAAAAAGAGAGAGAGUACCAGAAUCUUCUGCGGCAAACUCUAGAACAGAAAACUCAAGAAUUGUAUCACCUUCAGUUAAAAUUAAAAUCGAAUUGUAUUACAGAGAACCCAGCAGGCCCCUACGGGCAGAGAACAGAUAAAGAGCUUAUAGACUGGUUGCGGCUGCAAGGAGCUGAUGCAAAGACAAUUGAAAAGGUAAAUUUACAACAAAGAAAUUCUUAUGCUGUUGUUACACAGCUGCUCAGCUCUUAAGGAUCUGAUCUUUGUUUCAGAUUGUUGAAGAGGGUUAUACACUUUCGGAUAUUCUUAAUGAGAUCACUAAGGAAGAUCUAAGAUACCUUCGACUACGGGGUGGUCUCCUCUGCAGACUCUGGAGUGCGGUCUCCCAGUACAGAAGCGCUCAGGAGGCCUCAGAAACCAAAGACAAGGCUUGAUACCAAUCAGCUAAGCUGUGGCAGAGUGUCCCACCACGCUACAUGUUUUGUUAAAGCUUCUGUUAGUGUAUACACGAAUUCCGCUGUGUUUACAUAUUUAAAAAUGCCAUUGUUCAAUUAAUAGUUUAAGAACUUGUUUUAAAUACUGUCCUGAGUUUCUUUUGAAACCUGUUAUUUACAAACAUAGAACUGUGUGUAUUGUGAAAACAGUGAGCCUUGGUUUUGACCUCCCGGAAUAUUAGGAAAUUCACCUGUAGUCCCAGCUACGCAGGAGGCUGAGGUGGGAGGAUUGCUUGAGCCCAGGAGGUGUGGAGGCUGCAGUGAGCCAUGAUCACACCACUGCACUCCAGCCUGGGCAACAGAGCCCGACCCUGUCUCAAAAAAAACACCCUUCAGCACUUGCUGGAAUGGUGAAACAAGGGGUAUUUAACAAACAAACAAACAUGGAAGCUGGGACACUGCCUCAGAACUGGUAUGGUACUUAAAUUUGAGAAACACAAAAUUGAUACGAAUGUGCCUUGUAGUUAACGUUUGAUAUGAACAGAAAAUAGCUUCAUAUUUAUACUGAAUGUGUAAGUAGAGAAAACUAAGUUAUGUGGCCUUUGAAAUGAUUGAUUACAUUGAUUACAUUGAAAUGAUUACAAAAGUCUUAUUUUAAAAUGGAACUGUCCUCUUGCCUGAUAAUAAAUAUUGUAUCUUGU
rnacentral:sRNA from 1 species